rnacentral:rRNA from 1 species
UCAUCAUGGCCCUUACGGCCUGGGCUACACACGUGCUACAAUGGUCGGUACAGAGGGUUACCAAGCCGCGAGGUGGAGCUAAUCCCACAAAACCGAUCGUAGUCCGGAUCGCAGUCUGCAACUCGACUGCGUGAAGUCGGAAUCGCUAGUAAUCGCGAAUCAGAAUGUCGCGGUGAAUACGUUCCCGGGCCUUGUACACACCGCCCGUCACACCAUGGGAGUGGGUUGCACCAGAAGUAGCUAGUCUAACCUUCGGGAGGACGGUUACCACGGUGUGACUCAUGACUGGGGUGAAGUCGAAUCAAGAAGCAUGACCCCA